AGAGUUUGAUCCUGGCUCAGAACGAACGCUGGCGGCAGGCUUAACACAUGCAAGUCGAACGAGAAGUCAGAGCUUGCUCUGAUGGACAGUGGCAGACGGGUGAGUAACGCGUGGGAAUCUACCUAAUGGUACGGGAUAACGUUUGGAAACGGACGCUAAUACCGUAUAAGCCCUUCGGGGGAAAGAUUUAUCGCCAUUAGAUGAGCCCGCGUUAGAUUAGCUUGUUGGUGAGGUAAAAGCUCACCAAGGCUCCGAUCUAUAGCUGGUCUGAGAGGAUGAUCAGCCACACUGGGACUGAGACACGGCCCAGACUCCUACGGGAGGCAGCAGUGGGGAAUAUUGCACAAUGGGCGCAAGCCUGAUGCAGCCAUGCCGCGUGAGUGAAGAAGGCCUUAGGGUUGUAAAACUCUUUCAGUGGUGAUGAUAAUGACAGUAGCCACAGAAGAAGCCCCGGCUAACUCCGUGCCAGCAGCCGCGGUAAUACGGAGGGGGCUAGCGUUGUUCGGAAUUACUGGGCGUAAAGCGCGCGUAGGCGGAUUGAUCAGUCAGGGGUGAAAUCCCGAGGCUUAACCUCGGAACUGCCUUUGAUACUGUCAGUCUUGAGUUCGAGAGAGGUGAGUGGAAUUCCUAGUGUAGAGGUGAAAUUCGUAGAUAUUAGGAAGAACACCAGUGGCGAAAGCGGCUCACUGGCUCGAUACU
rnacentral:rRNA from 1 species